GCCUGACGCCGCGACGCCGCGUGUGGGAUGAAGGCCUUCGGGUCGUAAACCACUUUUCCCCGACGGGAGACUGUCGGGGGAAUAAGCACCGGCUAACUCCGUGCCAGCAGCAGCGGUAAUACGGAGGGUGCAAGCGUUGUCCGGAUUUACUGGGCGUAAAGCGUUCGCAGGCGCCCCGCCGCAUCUGAUUUCAAAGACCAGAGCUCAACUCUGGGAAGGGAUCAGAGAUGGGCGGGGUUGAAGGAUGUCGGGGCUGCUGGAACUUGUCAUGUAGGGGUGAAAUCCGUUGAUAUGACAAGGAACGCCGAGGGCGAAGGCAGGCAGCUAGGCAUCUCUUGACGCUCAGGAACGAAAGCCAGGGGAGCGAAACGGAUUAGAGACCCGUGUAGUCCUGGCCGUAAACGAUGCUCGCUAGCGGUGUGUCCUUUUAGGAUGCGUCGCGCAAGCUAACGCGUUAAGCGAGCCGCCUGGGGAGUACGGCCGCAAGGCUAAAACUCAAAGGAAUUGACGGGGACCCGCACAACCAGUGGAGCAUGUGGUUUAAUUCGAGACGAACCGAAGAACCUUACCUGGGCUUGACAUUCCGCCGUGUUAGUUCUGCAGAAAUGCGGAACGAUCUCGAAAUUUUUUUCGGGAAGGCGGAACAGGUGUUGCAUGGCUGUCGUCAACUCGUGCCGUGGGGUGUUCCCUUAAGUGGGGUAACGAGCGCAACCCCCGUCC
rnacentral:rRNA from 1 species